CGCACAUUGCACUCCUUGGUAUUCCGGGGAGUAUGCCUGUUCGAGCGUCAUUUCACCUCUCAAGCAGUAGCUUGGUAUUGGAUGUUAUCACGAAGAUGAUAUGUCUGAAAAACAGUGGCGAUCUGUAAAAGUGUUCAAGCGCAGUGAAACAUAUCCGUGAUGAGCCUUUACAGAUCAGCUUGAAUCUUUAUUCAAUACUUUGACCUCGGAUCAGGUAGGGAUACCCGCUGAACUUAA
rnacentral:misc_RNA from 1 species